rnacentral:rRNA from 1 species
AGAGCGAACGCUGGCGGCAGGCCUAACACAUGCAAGUCGAGCGCCCCGCAAGGGGAGCGGCAGACGGGAGAGUAACACGUGGGAACGUACCCUUUGGUUCGGAACAACACAGGGAAACUUGUGCUAAUACCGGAUAAGCCCUUACGGGGAAAGAUUUAUCGCCAAAGGAUCGGCCCGCGUCUGAUUAGCUUGUUGGUGAGGUAACGGCUCACCAAGGCUACGAUCAGUAGCUGGUCUGAGAGGAUGAUCAGCCUCACUGGGACUGAGACACGGCCCAGACUCCUACGGGAGGCAGCAGUGGGGAAUAUUGGACAAUGGCGCAAGCCUGAUCCAGCCAUGCCGCGUGGAUGAUGAAGGCCCUAGGGUUGUAAAGUCCUUUCGACGGGAAGAUAAUGACGGUACCCGUAGAAGAAGCCCCGGCUAACUUCGUGCCAGCAGCCGC